UACGUAGGGGGCAAGCGUUGUUCGGAAUUACUGGGCGUAAAGGGCGCGUAGGCGGCAUGGCAAGUCAGGCGUGAAAGGCCUGGGCUCAACCGAGGAGCUGCUUUUGAUACUGCCAAGCUAGAGUGCGGAAGGGGCAGCUGGAAUUCCCAGUGUAGCGGUGAAAUGCGUAGAUAUUGGGAAGAACACCUGAGGCGAAGGCGGGUUGCUGGGCCGACACUGACGCUGAGGCGCGAAAGCCAGGGGAGCAAACGGG
rnacentral:rRNA from 1 species